rnacentral:rRNA from 1 species
CCCUUAGAUGUUCUGGGCCGCACGCGCGCUACACUGACGAAGUCAGCGAGCAUGUCCUACGCCGACAGGUGCGGGGAAUCUUGUCAAACUUCGUCGUGAUGGGGAUUGAUUAUUGAAAUUCUUGAUCAUCAACGAGGAAUUCCUAGUAAGCGCAAGUCAGCAGCUUGCGUUGAUUACGUCCCUGCCCUUUGUACACACCGCCCGUCGCUACUACCGAUUGAAUGGUUUAGUGAGAUCUUCGGAUUGGCGCCACUGCGGCUCAGCAAUGGGCUCGGUGGAUGCCGAGAAGUUGAUCAAACUUGAUCAUUUAGAGGAAGUAAAAGUCGUAACA